AGGAUCCAUCGCGUUGCUGGUUCACCUUGGUGAGGCAAGAGGGAACCCGGUGCGAACCCGGGACUGCCCCGCAGCGGUGAGCGGGAACGACCGCCGUCACGGCACGGCGCCUCAGGCGCCGUGUCGUAAGCACUGGGCGCGAGCGCGCCCGGGAAGCGACGGCCAGUAGGACCGGCGGGCGCGAGCCCGGCCGGAUGCCCGCGAGUCCGAAGACCUGCCGGCGAUGCGCGCGCAUG
rnacentral:ncRNA from 1 species